CCCCCGCGCGCCCGCGGCCCGCGCCCGGGCCCGCCUUCGCCGCCUUGCUGCCCUGCACGCCCGCCGCCGCUGCAGCCGCUGCGCUAGAAGGAAAAAGGCCUGUAUCCUAUCAACACUUAUCUAGCAGCAUGCUGCAAAAGAGGAACUAUGAGAAUUUUAUUGGGAACGCACAUUAUCGACCAAAUGACAAAAAAACUUGAUUUCCUAUUUUGGGGAUGAAAGGUCUUGAUGGAUAUAAAUGUGUACUCUCCAUGAAAUUAAAUUAGUUUCAUCCUUUGAAAAAGCAAAUGUUGAAAGCUACUGAAAUAAGCUGUGAUUGUACUGUAUGUAUAACACAUAAAGGAGCACUACGGUUUUCUAAAGUUGUUCUGUUAACUUUUGUACCAAAUAGCAAUAAAGACUAUAGUUGGAAGAUUUGGGUUGUACACAAAUGGAGACUGGACAUCAUCUCUAUUUUGCCCUGAAUAAUAUGUUUUUUUAGAAUUGACCAAAUAAGAAAUGGAGGUUUUUUUUUUGUUUGUUUUUGUUUUUGCAUACUUGAGCGCUGCUGAAAAGAAAUCAUUUGGGUUGGGGGGUGGGGUGGGGAGAAAGUAUAUAACGCUUGCACCUCAGGUAAAAAAUUUUGUAAAUAUAUGUUGUAAACCUGCUUGUUUAAAUACUGUGUGUAUUCUUUUCCUCUAAUGUUGCUCAUCACUUUGAGCACAUAUCUGCUAUUUGUCCUCUUUCAUCUAAAAUGUACGGUUUUUGUUUUUUUUUAAUCUCAGUGAUUUGUAUUAUGUUAAAUCUUCCACAGUCUCUUGUCUUAAUGGAAAGAUCGACCCCCCCCAUGAAUAAUGUGCUGCUUGUACCAAGAUCAGCCUUUCUCUAGUUGGUUCCCUUUUAUUGCAAAUUUCGGUAGGUCGUCUGAGGAAGACCCAGACCCAUAAUCCUCUUCUCAGGGGAUUGGCGGGGGGAUUUUUAAGUGUGUGUAUCUAUAGAGAAGCAUUUCCUCUAGGCCAGCCACACACUCAGUAAACAUACCAAAUUGUAUGUGGAGUUACUUAGUUUUCUAAUCAAAUGAAUCAUUUUUGUUGGAAAAUUCUAUAACUAAUUCUGGAAUUAGUUAUAAAAAUAUAAAGGCUAAAUUAUACAUGUGGAUUACAUAUAUUGGAAGCAGUUUUAAAAGAAAUGAAAGCUGAGGGGUAAAUUUUAGGUUUGCAUCUGGUAGUCUCGGUGUGUCUGGCGCUUGGGUUGCCUGUGGACACGCUCAGGUUAAUUACAGACACAUGGAUUGUGCAGGGGUGCUGACUGAGGCUCCUGGUACUCCGGGGAGUUCCCUGGUCUGGAGACCUCAGCAUCUUCCCAUUUUUGGUGGUUUGGAGGCAGUACCAUUUUCUCAGUGUACAGGACAGUUUGGGUUUUAAAGAGAGACUAGCCACCAGCUGGCUAACUAAAUGUUUUAUUACACUUCUGUUCCUUAAUCCACUGUCCAUGGCUGACUGUUACAGGCAGCACCUGGGUUUAGUGACCACAACAUACUUUAUUAAGAAAACUGUUUCAAAAAUAAAUUUGCACUGUUAAUUUUUCUUGCCUUGCCCUUCUCCAUUAGAACAAGGGUAAUGUCCUCAAAAGAAUCCUGAAUUUUUGUUUGUUCUCAUUAUGCAACACGACGCUCACUUGAUAGAAAAGUCUUAACUCCCAGGUGAGAAGGGAGACCUAAUCUGAGCUGACUCUGCUGGCAUCGUGAUGAAGUGCUUUGUAUCAGGAAAGUGUACACUAUUGACCUUUCUUUCUGUUCACAAGCUGAGCCAUAUGUACAUAAUCUAGAUUUUUGUUUUCCUAGUUUUGCACUUUUAUAGCCUAUUUUUGAAGAUUAACACAUUGAGAAAGAUGAUUGACAUGAUCCUUACCUAAUCCAAUAAGUGUUACAGAAAGAAAGCUUGCUGUGACGAUAAAUAUAAAUCUUAAAAGGGGAUAAACACGAUGAUAGAGGGCUGAAAUUUAAAUCUGUAUUUAAAAAAAAAAAAUCACCAAAUCUAUUUGAAAACAAGUCAAUUCAUGUUAUGCUGAAAUCUGGGUACCUUUCAGAUUUCUCCUUUUUAGCCACAUUUCUGAAUCCUUAAAAAUAGAGUUGUUUUUCUUUCCACAGCCCUUGUACUCCAAAAUGUUUUUUUUUUUUUCCUUUUUUUGUCCAUCAGUAUUAACUAUUGGGAUACUACUGGUUCUGUAUGUUUUUUCCCUUUGAGACAACAGCACAUAUACUAGAGGUACAAUCUGUUGGAUUUUUGUUUAUGUAUUUAUUUCAUUCCAGUUUGAUUUAUUUUAAUUGUUGAUACUUAAGUUGUCAAACAGUAGACAUUACUUGUUUUAUUUAUGAUAUAUUUCAGCUUAAAGUUAUGUUAUUAUAUGUGGAUGUAAAUAUAGAUUUGGUGUUUUGCAA